rnacentral:tRNA from 1 species
AGUGAUGUGGCUCAGUGGUAGAGGGCUCACCCAUCAUGUUUGAGGCACUGGGUGCAAUCCUCAGCAUCACAU